rnacentral:lncRNA from 1 species
UCGAACUAUAUCAAACGGUCCAGAACCUACUUCGUCAUCAUCAUGGAAGUCGGUGCUACUGGUACCCAUUUCAAGAUCAUUCCGGUGACGCCCGUACGGCAACGUAUUUCCCUCUUGGUUCCUCAUUCUCGAUUUUCUGUCAAAUAUGCAGGAGAUAUGAACAUCGCUUAGAUAUCUCCGCAAAUUCACAUCCAAUACAUGCACAUUACUUCGAAAAAUGAAUCUAAACUCGAAAAUCUCAAAACUAUUUCACUAAGAGCACUUGAGUAAGAGACAAAACUCACCGGCUAUGAAUUUUUACAACAUUUAAUGCACAAAUAUAUGCAGAACUGUAAAGUUUCCACUGUAGAGAGAAAUGAAGAAACUUCAAGGAAAUUUCCCAGUAACUGUUACAUCGCCUUUGUACUAAAAAUAAAGGAAAAUACAUAUAAGAAUAUUAUUGGAUCCAUUUAUGGUAAUAACUUUAUUGCUUUAAGCAAAAGAAAAGAGGCCUAUUUAUUUCAAGAAUAAAUUCCGGAUAUACAUCAAUCCUUCUUACGUGGAAAAUCUGGCGCGGAUAAGUUUAAAAUUAAUGGUGUAGAUUGCUCUCACAUGGAAUAUUACGAGAAUUUUACUUUGGACUUUCAUUUGAGAAUUUGGACAAUUAGUCUCGACUCUUU